GGGGCGGACGUUUGCGGGCCUGUUUGUCUGCAGGCUUUGCUGCCCGACAAGUGCGCUCGCGGGAGAGCCGCGCCAGGCCACGCGCCUCGCUCGCCCGCGGCCGGCCCGCUGUCGCCGCCGUCCUGUUCCCCGGGUCCCAGGGUCGAGGAUGAAGAUGCAAAGAGGCGCGUAGCUGGCAUUUGCCAAAAUGUCAGAACUGGGAAAGGCCGAACUUGGUGAAGCGCCACUUUCUUCCUUAAGAAAGUCAUUGGUCGUGGCUUUGCUGUGUGUGAGCAGGGACCGAGGAAGAAGGCUUCGUCCGGAAAUCCCGCGUGGGACGGGAGAGAGGAAGGAAAGUAGAGCAAGGGACGGCCAGGAAAAUGCAGAAAUAUUUGCUUGGACUUUGGUGUCUGCAAGAUGCGACGAGAAACGGAUGACGUCGGGGUUCAGAACUAGUUUUAAAAAGGCGUCUGGGCAUCUCGCCCUCCCCCCGCCCUUAAGGCUCAUCUGGUUUAAAGACUAUAAAAUCCUAUGGAGAAUCACACACCCGCUUCUGGGGGUUUACCAAUGUCUGCAAGGUAGUGUCGAGAAUGGAGAAUGCACGCUGACUGCCCAGGGCCACCUGAGCUGCAGCAGUGGAACCAGACCCAGGGCGUGAAGGUUCACUCUAGCCUUUUUUUUUUUUUUUUUUUUUUUUUUUGAGCCUGAACAGACUUUUCAGCCCUUCAGAGCCCUGUAGCAAGAUCCUGCUAAGGACUGACUGACCUUCAGAGUAGGUUAGAGCCUGACUUACUGACCCUUCACAGUAGGCUGGAGCCUGACUUACUGACCCUUCAGAGUAGGCUGGAGCCUGACUUACCCUCAGAGUAGGUUAGAGCCUGGACUUACUGACCCUUCACAGUAGGUUAAAGCCUGGACUUACUGACCCUUCAAAGUAGGUUAGAGCCUGACUUACUGACCUUUCACAGUAGGCUGGAGCCUGACUUACCCUCAGAGUAGGUUAGAGCCUGGACUUACUGACCCUUCACAGUAGGUUAAAGCUUGGACUUACUGACCCUUCAGAGUAGGUUAGAGCCUGACUUACUGACCUUUCACAGUAGGCUGGAGCCUGACUUACUGACCCUUCAGAGUAGGCUGGAGCCUGGACUUACCCUUCGUAGUAGGUUAGAGCCUGACUUACUGACCCUUCAGAGUAGGCUGGAGCCUGGACUUACCCUUCGUAGUAGGUUAGAGCCUGACUUACUGACCCUUCAGAGUAGGCUGGAGCCUGGACGUACUGACCCUCAGAGUAGGUUAGAGCCUGACUUACCCUCAGACGAGGUUAGAGCCUGACUUACUGACCCUUCACAGUAGGCUGGAGCCUGGACUUACUGACCCUUCAGAAUAGGUUAGAGCGUGACUUACUGACCCUUCACAGUAGGUUAGAGCCUGACUUACUGACCCUUCAGAGUAGGAUAGAGCCUGACUUACUGACCCUCAGAGUAGGCUGGAGCCUGGACUUACCUUCAGAGUAGGUUAGAGCCUGACUUACUGACCCUUCACAGUAGGCUGGAGCCUGGACUUACUGACCCUUCUUCACAGUAGCUUAGAGCCUGACUUACCCUUCAGAGUAGGCAAGAGCCUGAACUUACUGACCCUUCACAGUAGGUUAGAGCCUGACUUACUGACCUUUCACAGUAGGCUGGAGCCUGACUUACUGACCCUUCAGAGUAGGCUGGAGCCUGGACGUACUGACCCUCAGAGUAGGUUAGAGCCUGACUUACCCUCAGACGAGGUUAGAGCCUGACUUACUGACCCUUCACAGUAGGCUGGAGCCUGGACUUACUGACCCUUCUUCACAGUAGCUUAGAGCCUGACUUACCCUUCAGAGUAGGUUAGAGCCUGGACUUACUGACCCUUCAGAGUAGGUUAGAGCCUGACUUAAGGACCCUUCACAGUAGGCUGGAGCCUGGCUUACCCUUCAGAAUAGGCUAAAGCCUGGACUUACCCUUCAGAGUAGGCUAGAGCCUGGACUUACUGACCCUUCAGAGUAGGCUAGAGCCUGGCAUUCUUUGGAAAAGUGAGCAAGUCAGAGAGUGGGAAGUGGUGGGAGAGGAGGCCCUGAAAGGGUUGGUCAGAAACCAGGCAGAGAAAAACUAUGCUGUCUUCUCAGUUUCGUCCUGGGUCCUGUCCGACCCCACCCUCCUUCUCUGGGGCUCCCAGCUUCAGCGUUAUCUCCACAUGCUGCUGCUGACUCCAUGACUCCAUGUCCUUGCAUCUCAAUGGGCUGCUGUUCUUUCCAUCCUAUGCCUUCAUGAAUUGCAGAACCUUUCCUGGACCACAUCUUUCCAUCACUCUGAUCUCCUCUCUCCCACGAUUCCUGAUACACAACUGAAUGUCUAGGUCACUCAUUUUGAGCCAGAAAAGUGCGUUUUAUGGCCUAAGGCAAGACAGUUCUUAUCUCAAGCCAUCACAUUCCUCAACUGUGAAAUAGCAAUCCUGACAACAACCUUCCCAAACUGAUGUGAGCAUCACAUGGAAUCACAGGGAAGUAGGAGCUCAGGAUAGCUGCUGGAAUUGUUAUCUUGCAGAAGGCAAAAAUCAAUUUUAUACUAGGGGGAUUGUUCUUAUACUGGGGCUCAAUUCUUUGGUGUUUCUGAGCAACAGCUCCUUCAUGCCCAUCUCAGAACAAACACAAUCUGCAUUCAGAACAGGACCGUUUACAAGUUCAAUGGAGUUAUUUUGGGAACUUGCUAGAAAGCUAUUGAAACCACGGAGGUAGAAGAAGAAACAAACAGACUAGGAUCUAUUCAAACUUGUCACUAUUGACCAGUCUUUGAGUGAAAAGUAUCUAGCACCAAACUAAUAGAGAAUAUCAGAUAUGACUCAUUACUCUUGGUGUAAUCCCCAAGGACCAGAGAAGCUCUGCUUUAAAGCUUCUCAUUUCCUAUCUAACGUAGAAACCAAUAAUCUUAUCAAUGACUGCUGAGGAAUCAACUAUGUAACAGGAUUGUUGUGAGGAUUGACCGAGAUUACAUAUGUAAAGCUUCUUAAAACAGUGGCCAGGAAGAUGGAAGAAGAAAAGAUAAGAAAGAACUGAAGUAUGGGAAUCUUUUCAACUGUUUCACUGGUUGAAGGCUACAUAAAAUACAACUGGAAACUUCAUUGGCUCUACCUCAAAAUAUAUACAGAAUUUAGGAAAUUCUUCAGGCAAAAAGCAUAGGAGACCAACCAUAAACUUGGAUCUACAUCAAGGAAUGAAGAGCAUUGGAAGUGGAAGCAAGGCUCCACACCCAGUGUGGAGCCCAACAUGGGGCUUGAAAUCACAACUGAGAGAUCAAGACCUGAGCUGAGAUCAAGAAUCAGACACCAACUGAGCCAUCCAGGUGCCCCUGGACUGAGUACUUACAGAUCUGGAUUCUAGUCUUGGCUUUGCCCAGGAAGAAACCAUGUGCAUUUGGCAAGUAUAACUGUAUAAUGACAUUAACAACCAGCAUCCAUUCAGUCCUUUGUCUUUAUGUGCCAGAUACUCUUCUGGCUCUUUAUGUUUAUUUGCUUUACUCAGCUCUUACAGACCUCUAUUGUCAAGAACUGUGAAGGGUCUAAGAUGUCGCUCCACUUGGAAGCUACUAUGUUAGCCUGUCACAAUCACAUGGAUGUUGGCAGAAGAUGUGAGACCCGUGAGUCACAGACGAAGGUCUUUAUUACCUACAUAGAUAUUAACAGCCAGAAUAUCAGCAUUUACAUCAGUUCUCUGAGGUCCAGGUGAUUUCUACACACAGAGAGAGUCAUAGUGCAGGAGAAGAAUGCUGAAAUAAGGGAACCCAAAUCUUUUAAAAUGGAAAGAAAGCAUAUCUCCAGAGGGAGACAUCUUUAUUUUGCUGAGUUGUAAGCAAACCUGCUCUUUGCCCUGAGGCAGACACUAUAACCUUCAAGGCUGUCAUCUAUACAAACAUCUUUGAAAAGGUAGUCCGUGUGACUGCUCAAAAGACAGGCAAAGAAACCUAUGGAGAAUUGUCUACCAACACCUGUGAAAAGAUACUGUAAAACUUGAUAUCACAGAUGGAGGAACAAAAGAUCUGAGAGGCUAAGUAAUUUGCCCAAGGCUUGUGUGAUUGUCUGACCCAGAUAACGGAUUCCAAGAGCCUGGAAUCUUCAACAGUGUAAUCACUAAUAUUACUUUGAAUGUAAACAUUAUUAUUUAAAUAUAUAUUUGCAAAUAUCUUCUCCCAUUCUGUAGGUUGUCUUUU